GCGCGACUGGUGUAACUGGAACACAACCCGCUUCCAGCGGGAGGCUCCCCGUUCGUGACGGGGGUCGCGCUC
rnacentral:tRNA from 5 species